rnacentral:tRNA from 1 species
AGAGGGGUGGCAGAAAACUAUGCAUUAGGCCUAAGACCUAAUAAUGAGACUACCUCCCCCUCCA